rnacentral:rRNA from 1 species
AACGAACGCUGGCGGCAGGCCUAACACAUGCAAGUCGAACGCACCGCAAGGUGAGUGGCGCACGGGUGAGUAACACGUGGGAAUGUAUCCUUUGGUUCGGAAUAACGUCUGGAAACGGACGCUAAUACCGGAUGAGCCCUUAGGGGGAAAGAUUUAUCGCCGAAGGAGCAGCCCGCGUCUGAUUAGGUAGUUGGUGGGGUAAAGGCCUACCAAGCCGGCGAUCAGUAGCUGGUCUGAGAGGAUGAUCAGCCACACUGGGACUGAGACACGGCCCAGACUCCUACGGGAGGCAGCAGUGGGGAAUAUUGGACAAUGGGCGCAAGCCUGAUCCAGCCAUGCCGCGUGAGUGAUGAAGGCCUUCGGGUUGUAAAGCUCUUUCGCACACGACGAUGAUGACGGUAGUGUGAGAAGAAGCCCCGGCUAACUUCGUGCCAGCAGCCGCGGUAA